rnacentral:rRNA from 1 species
UACGUAGGGGCGAGCGUUGUCCGGAAUUACUGGGGCGUAAAGGGUGCGUAGGCGGCGUAUCAAGUCGUAUGUGAAACCCCUGGGCUUAACCUAGGAGGUGCAUGCGAAACUGGUAUGCUUGAGUACAGGAGAGGGAAGCGGAAUUCCUAGUGUAGCGGUGAAAUGCGUAGAGAUUAGGAAGAACACCAGUGUCGAAGGCGAUUCUCUGGACUGUAACUGACGCUGAGGCUCGAAAGCGUGGGGAGCAAACAGGAUUAGAUACCCCGGUAGUCCCUGA